rnacentral:tRNA from 1 species
CCGAGAAUAGCUCAGUUGGUAGAGCGGGAGACUGUAGUUUGUCAAGUAAUCUCUAGGUCCCUGGUUCAAAUCCGGGUUCUCGGA